AGUGAACGCUGGCGGUAGGCCUAACACAUGCAAGUCGAACGGCAGCACAGUAAGAGCUUGCUCUUACGGGUGGCGAGUGGCGGACGGGUGAGGAAUACAUCGGAAUCUACUUUUUCGUGGGGGAUAACGUAGGGAAACUUACGCUAAUACCGCAUACGACCUACGGGUGAAAGCAGGGGAUCUUCGGACCUUGCGCGAUUGAAUGAGCCGAUGUCGGAUUAGCUAGUUGGCGGGGUAAAGGCCCACCAAGGCGACGAUCCGUAGCUGGUCUGAGAGGAUGAUAAGCGACACUGGAACUGAGACACGGUCAAGACUCCUACGGGAGGCAGCAGUGGGGAAUAUUGGACAAUGGGCGCAAGCCUGAUCCAGCCAUACCGCGUGGGUGAAGAAGGCCUUCGGGUUGUAAAGCCCUUUUGUUGGGAAAGAAAAGCAGCAGGUUAAUACCCCGCUGUUCUGACGGUACCCAAAGAAGAAGCACCGGCUAACUUCGUG
rnacentral:rRNA from 1 species